CCUACGGGAGGCUGCAGUGAGGAAUAUUGGUCAAUGGACGCGAGUCUGAACCAGCCAAGUAGCGUGAAGGAUGACUGCCCUAUGGGUUGUAAACUUCUUUUAUAUGGGAAUAAAAUGUUCCACGUGUGGGAUUUUGUAUGUACCAUAUGAAUAAGGAUCGGCUAACUCCGUGCCAGCAGCCGCGGUAAUACGGAGGAUCCGAGCGUUAUCCGGAUUUAUUGGGUUUAAAGGGAGCGUAGGUGGAUUGUUAAGUCAGUUGUGAAAGUUUGCGGCUCAACCGUAAAAGUGCAGUUGAAACUGGCAGUCUGGAGUACAGUAGAGGUGGGCGGAAUUCGUGGUGUAGCGGUGAAAUGCUUAGAUAUCACGAAGAACUCCGAUUGCGAAGGCAGCUCACUGGACUGCAACUGACACUGAGGCUCGAAAGUGUGGGUAUCAAACAGGAUUAGAUACCCUGGUAGUC
rnacentral:rRNA from 1 species